AUGCCCAAAAGGAUCGAAGAAAUCAAGCGAUCCGCAGCUCGAGCCGGCGCCAUCACUGCUUUGAGCCGGGCCAAAACAUGGCAGGUGGAGCUAGACCCGGAGGAGCUGGCAACUGGCUGUCCAAGCUUGAAGGAGGAGGGGUGUCCCUUUGAUGCUAGCGACUUCACCAAAUGUGUAAAGGAGAUGCGUCCUUGGGCAACCAAGCUGGCCGAAGAAACUGACUUGUCCAAGUAUCAGCCCGCUUACACCAAAGAGAAUGCAAAAGUGAAAGCACCGGCUUAUGAUAUUGUAGAGCUCGUUCCUCUGAUACACAUUGGAGGGAGGAGAAGAAGAACCGGCGCAGGAUGA
rnacentral:rRNA from 1 species